rnacentral:rRNA from 1 species
UACAGAGACUGCAAGCGUUAUUCGGAUUCACUGGGCGUAAAGGGUGCGCAGGCGGCCAAGUGUGUGAGGCGUGAAAGCCUGGGGCUUAACCCCAGAAUUGCACCUCAAACUACUUGGCUAGAGCAUUGGAGAGGGUAGCAGAAUUCAUGGUGUAGCAGUGAAAUGCGCAGAUAUCAGGAAGAACACCCGUGGCGAAGGCGGCUCUCUGGGACGGUACUGACGCUGAGACGCGAAAGCGUGGGGAGCAAACAGG